rnacentral:rRNA from 1 species
CCGGCAACCGGCGCACGGGUGAGUAACACGUAUGCAACCUGGCCGUGACAGAUGGAUAACCGGGAGAAAUCCCGCCUAAUACAACAUAAUGCCGGGAGGGGACAUCCCCUGCCGGCCAAAGGGGGCGACCCCGGUCACGGAUGGGCAUGCGGCGCAUUAGGUAGUUGGUGGGGCAACGGCCCACCAAGCCGACGAUGCGUAGGGGUUCUGAGAGGAAGGUCCCCCACAUUGGAACUGAGACACGGUCCAAACUCCUACGGGAGGCAGCAG